rnacentral:lncRNA from 1 species
AAAAUUCUGGUCGUAGAUCAUAUCGCGAUAUCCCAUGAUCAAACAUCCACAAUCCUAUAUAGAAUCAAUUUCAAUAAUUAGAAAGAAUACGAAUACCAUAUUUCAAUGGUUUAGAUUGGGUCCGAUCAUCUAAUUUCAUCUAAUCAAAAUCUAAUUAGGACCUAAACAAUCCAAAGUUUGACUAUCAGAUCAAAUCGGAUUCGAAGUGAUAGGACCGAGGUUUCUUCAUCGAUUUCAUAAAAUCAAGUGGAGAGAGAAAAUCAGAGAAGAGAGAAUUUAUGAGGUACAAUUCGAAUUGAUCAGGUGAC